rnacentral:rRNA from 1 species
AGAAUCAACGCUGGCGGCGUGCCUAACACAUGCAAGUCGAACGCGAAAGCCCCGCAAGGGGUCAGUAGAGUGGCAAACGGGUGAGUAACACGUGGGUGACCUGCCUUCGAGUGGGGGAUAACGUCCCGAAAGGGACGCUAAUACCGCAUGACGUCCUGCCUUUGGAAAGGCGGAGAUCAAAGCUGGGGAUCGCAAGACCUGGCGCUUGAAGAGGGGCCCGCGCCUGAUUAGCUAGUUGGUAGGGUAACGGCCUACCAAGGCGACGAUCAGUA